rnacentral:rRNA from 1 species
GAUGAACGCUGGCGGCGUGCCUAAUACAUGCAAGUCGAGCGAACAGACGAGGAGCUUGCUCCUCUGACGUUAGCGGCGGACGGGUGAGUAACACGUGGAUAACCUACCUAUAAGACUGGGAUAACUUCGGGAAACCGGAGCUAAUACCGGAUAAUAUAUUGAACCGCAUGGUUCAAUAGUGAAAGACGGUUUUGCUGUCACUUAUAGAUGGAUCCGCGCCGCAUUAGCUAGUUGGUAAGGUAACGGCUUACCAAGGCAACGAUGCGUAGCCGACCUGAGAGGGUGAUCGGCCACACUGGAACUGAGACACGGUCCAUACUCCUACGGGAGGCAGCAGUAGGGAAUCUUCCGCAAUGGGCGAAAGCCUGACGGAGCAACGCCGCGUGAGUGAUGAAGGUCUUCGGAUCGUAAAACUCUGUUAUUAGGGAAGAACAAAUGUGUAAGUAACUAUGCACGUCUUGAUGGUACCUAAUCAGAAAGCCACGGCUAACUACGUG